AUACGAAGGGGGCUAGCGUUGUUCGGAAUUACUGGGCGUUAAAAGCGCAUGUAGGCGGACAUUUAAGUCAGGGGUGAAAUCCCGGGGCUCAACCUCGGAACUGCCUUUGAUGCUGGGUGUCUAGAGUGUGGAAGAGGUAAGUGGAAUUCCGAGUGUAGAGGUGAAAUUCGUAGAUAUUCGGAGGAACACCAGUGGCGAAGGCGGCUUACUGGUCCAUUACUGACGCUGAGGUGCGAAAGCGUGGGGAGC
rnacentral:rRNA from 1 species